UGCCGCCGUCAUAGCAGGCGAAGCUGGUGCGAGUGGGAGGCAUGGCGCGGGGCGUGGACGCCCCGGACACCGCGGCCGACCACAUCCACCUAAGGGGCGACUGAAGCUACGGGAACAGAAUACUUCGAUAACACGUCUGGAGAUUCUAUGGACAGGCAGAUGCUUGACAACAGACAUGACUUGGAUGAUGACAGCGGAUAGGCACAUGAAAAUGGGCGCAUUACGGACUUUUCGUUCGAAUUUUUGAAACUUUGCACAGGCGUACUACAUGAGGUCCUGGCAUAAUGUUAUAGCUUUAAAAGUAAAUAACCUAUUUAGAACGAAACAACUGCGAUUAUUCUCAUGUAUCUGUAAUAUUACAACAACAAUAUGUUGAGUAUUGGUAUCUGUAAGUUGUAAUAAAAUUAGGUUAAAACAAUAAAAUGGGUAAAAAUAAUAGAAAAAUUCCUUCCACUAGUAUAUUAAAUGACCGAUACAUCAAAUAUUGUUCAGUUUGCAUGUCAAACUGUUACUGAUUUAGUACACAAACAGAUUAUGCAAGCAAGAUUCUAGUUAAUUGAACCAAUUAAGCAACGGCACCUGGUGUCGUACAGCGCCCCUGGCGGUUGAACAUAUAUUGCUUUAUACUACUUCGGGUUUUGGAUAUAACUUCCAAAAUACUUGUCCAAUUUAGUCAAACAAAUUCCUCACAUGAUUAGCAUGCAUCGAUACUAAUACUGUAGCAGAAUUUGUUUGGUUUUAAUAAACAUAUAGUGAAACAAUGAAA